CCUGCUCGGUCCCCACGGCCAGCGCCGCGGUGCGGGACCCGGCUCGGCGGCACCUGCUGCUUAGGGAGCCAGCGGCCCGGCCCCGUGCUCAUGAUGGGGCUGAUUUUCGCUAAAGUAUGGAGCCUCUUCUGUAAUCAAGCUCUUGUCAUCUUUGGUACCUGCCACCACCAUGAAGGGUUGCCCCUGUGCCACACCACCCUGCCUUGGAGCCAGCAGAGUACAGACUGAAACCUCCAAAUACUACACACAGCACCAAGAUUCUGGUGUGCAAAUAGGCUUGAAGAACAUCGGCUGUUAGGAGCCACUGAAAGGAAGAGAAUAAGGCAGCAUCUCCUGAGAAUCAGCCAUGCUGGAACUUGGGGGACCCACCAAAAAAGCAACGAGCCAUCCUUACUGCUAAGCACUGAGAGCUGCAGGCUCACCAGGGGGGAAAACAAGUCAGUGUCUCCUGUGGGCCUACGUGCAUGUGGGCCUAGAAUCAAACAUCCCACUCUGCACGCUGCCCCACCCAUUAGUCACUGGAUGGUGUUGAGGACAACCUGCUUUGAUAGCAACUAUGAUACAUAAAGCAACUAAGUGCUUGUAUGUUUGGUUUAUUAUGCUGACCUGCAGCCAGGGGUCUUAGCAUCUCUUGGGAGGAUGACUGUAUGCAAUAUGGCAAAUAGGGGGAUUUCCUUCUAUCUUGUCUUUGAAGGCAAAUAUUGCUUUCACUCUUUUGCUUUGUUCUGAUUGUUUUGCUGUGUUCAAUAUUCUGUUUGAUUGGUUUUAUAUUGCUCAGUCUUUGGUAUGAUUUUUAUAUACCUGAUUGAAUGGGCAACUAUUGUGAAGAAAACAAGGCAUACUAUGGUAGCUAUUAUUGCCAUCCCAGUAUCCUGCUCUGAAAUUCUGUACCAAUUUCACUGCAUUGUCUUGAUUUGCUUUGUUUUGUCUUGUUUUGCUAUAUUUUACUAUCUUUAAAAUGAAAAAUAAAUAAAUAUACAUAUAAAAACUGGAAAUUGAACACAUGUACAGGGCAGAUGCAAGCCUGGGGCAAGAUAAAGGCUGAGGACACCUGGCUCCAGCUCCAGUUAUGUAAGGACGGUAGCCACAGGCAUUUCACCCCUGUACUGAAAUGCAACAUGAGGGUCUUCUCCUAAGAUACUUACCCUUGUUAACAUCAUUUGCUACUUGCAAAGUCUUUGGACCACCCCCAGAUCUGUUCAUUUGCCUGGGUUUUCUACUCUAACCCCCUAAGUAAACAUGGGUGACCCAGAGACACUCCCUGUCUUAACCACUAGAGUCCCUGAAAUCUGUAGAGGGCUGUGAUCCUCCUGGAGCCCUAAAAGCAUACCACUUACCUCAUUUAGGUUAAGCCUUCACUGUACACUCAUUUGGGGGAUAUUGGAGAUCUAGGCCAGGUACCUGAUAACUGGUGCCUGGAACAGAAACCUGAAACCCUGGACUAGGAAUUGUAGCCUGAAGAAGUAAGCCCACCCUGAGUGGAAAGUCUGGGUAAGGAGGAGGUCUUCACAGGAUGAAAAACCUCACCGGGGACACCAGGAGAAGAGAGGGAAGAACAAGGCUGAGUCUUCCUGCUGUGAACAAGCUGUUUUAUCCAACAGUAAAACCAGAGCCAGGGAUGUAGCUCAGUGGCUGAGCAUCUGCCUGGCAAGCUCAAGGCCAUGAGUUCUAUUUCUAGAAACAAUAACAAAAAUAGGCAAAAGCGUUCAGCGGAGGAGCAAAGGUAUGUAUGGCUGCUCUAAGGCCUGCUUAAAGGUCCGAGGGUUUAUGUGCCAAACAAAAGACCUAGAAAAAGGUUAAAAGAAGUAACCAAAUAUAAUAUGUGGUUUCCUCAGAUAGGCACUAUACAUAUUCAUCAUUGGGAACGAGUUGAAAAAAAUCUUAAAAAGGCACGUAAUAGGGGAAAAAUCAUUUCCCCCUAAGAGGUUCUCAGUUUGGAACCCACUUCAUUCAGUUUCAAGUCUGUUACAGAGCGCUUACUCAGUGAAUUCUGAUUCAGACAUGGACAGGGUAAGAAGAAACAGCAGGGGAAGGGACACUUCUCAUUUGCACCGACAGGGGAGAGAAAUGAAUAGGUAGUGAAAGACAGAUGGGCUUGAGAGAAGCCAGAGACACAAACAGGCUACGAGAAUUCAAAGGGAAAACUGGCUUACAAUAACCAAGGGAAAAAAGUGUCUCUAUCUUACCAGUUGUUAGGAAUGGGACAAAUACAUUCUAAAGAAUCACAAAUGUAUAUGCAACUGUUUAUUGUAUGUUGGAUUCCAGUAUUUACUCUCCUUUUGUAGAUUUUGAUUAAAAGGUGUCUUGAUGA